AUGAGUUGUGGGUAGGGGUGAAAGGCCAAUCAAACUCCGUGAUAGCUGGUUCUCCCCGAAAUGCAUUUAGGUGCAGCGUCGCGUGUUUCACUCUGGAGGUAGAGCUACUGGAUGGCCGAUGGGCCCUACAAGGUUACUGACGUCAGCCAAACUCCGAAUGCCAGGGUGUGAGAGCGCGGCAGUGAGACUGCGGGGGAUAAGCUUCGUAGUCGAGAGGGAAACAGCCCAGAUCGCCGGCUAAGGCCCCUAAGCGUGUACUAAGUGGAAAAGGAUGUGGGAUCGCUGAGACAACCAGGAGGUUGGCUUAGAAGCAGCCACCCUUGAAAGAGUGCGUAAUAGCUCACUGGUCAAGUGGUCCUGCGCCGACAAUGUAGCGGGGCUCAAGUACACCGCCGAAGCCGCGGCAUUCGCAUAACACACGCAUUGUCCUGCGGGAUGGUGUGCAGUGGUGUGGAUGGGUAGGGGAGUCGGGGAGCUGUCAACCGAGCUGUGAUCCGAGGAUUUCCGAAUGGGGAAACCCAGCACGAGUGAUGUCGUGUUACCUGCCGGUGAAUAUAUAGCCGGUGUGGAGGGAACGUGGGGAAGUGAAACAUCUCAGUACCCACAGGAAGAGAAAACAACAUGUGAUUCCGUCAGUAGUGGCGAGCGAACGCGGAAGAGGCUAAACCAUGGGUGUGUGAUACCUGGCAGGGGUUGCACUCGUGGGGUUGUGGGGUUCAUUGUGUCGACGCUGCUGAGUCGGCCAACAGUAAGAAAUCAUGGUGUUAGUCGAAGUGGUCUGGAACGGCCUGUCGUAGAGGGUGAGAAUCCCGUAGACGAAAACGCUGUGACUGUUGAUGUGAAUACCCAAGUAGCACCGGGCCCGUGAAAUCCGGUGUGAAUCUGUCGGGACCACCCGAUAAGCCUGAAUACUCCCUGGUGACCGAUAGCGGACUAGUACCGUGAGGGAAAGAUGAAAAGUACCCCGGGAGGGGAGUGAAAUAGUACCUGAAACCGUGCGC
rnacentral:rRNA from 1 species